GUGAGAGGGACUCUGGUGGGCACAGGAUGUGAGGGUCUCGAAUCCACUUACAUGGAGGAAGGGGAGGGAUCCAGAGCCUUGGGGAAGAGCUGCCUGGGCAGGAAUUCCUGGGUUAUGGGGCAUCUCUUCUCCCACCUUCAAUUCACCUCUCCAUUCCAAAGACAACAGAAGCCACCUCAACCAGCCCUGGGACAGCACAUAUGAGUUCCUAACCUGUCUCCAGCCACCUGAGCCUUGAGAGUUGGGGAGUCAGAAAAGAAAGGCACAGUGUCAUGGAGCUUCUAGUCAGUCCCAUCCCUUCUUUGCUUCAAAGACAACACCUACCCUAUUGGUCAUGCCUAGUAAUGCUUUCUGUAUGCG
rnacentral:lncRNA from 1 species